CUAUGGAUAUGGACUAACUAUCCAAUCCAAAAGGCUCUAAAAAGCCUAAUCACAAUUCAGAAUUCCUAGGGCUUCUGAAACCUCAACGCCGCUUCACUUUCCACUAUAUAUACAAGCACACCGCACGCAGCAAUUCUUGCUAGCAGGCGCCGGCAUGCGGUAAGGGAUUAACUUUCCGAUCAGUAUUUAUUAAUUUGAAUUGUAGCAUAUGAUUUGUCUCUAUGAUGAUGAAUUUGUUUUACAAAUGACCUUUUAUCUCCUGAGAAGUUUUCAGUGCUGAAUAAUUUUGGAGACCUGAACUGAAGAGACAAAAUUAAUUUUCUUUUUUUUUUUUCCGUAAUCAUUUGAUUUUUAUAAGAGUCCUGAUCUUGCAUAUGUAUUGAUGGUGCUGGAUCUGGAUUCCCGUUUUCUUCUAUUUUUUGGCUAAUAUUUAUUUGCUUAAACAGGGUUUUACUUUGUGUUUUUGUUUGAUUCUUCGUAAUGGGCCUCUGAUGAUGACUAAAUUAUAAUACUUUCGUUCUUCUGAAAAUAUUUCCAUGUGGAAGAUUUAUGGAGACCUGAACUGAAGAGGCUUUUCAUUUAAAUUCAUUUUCACUGUGGAUUUUAAUAUCUAUUUUUCUUGAGAUAUAAAAAAAAAUAAAUUUUAUGUUAUUUAUUUGAUUCAAAUUACAUUAUGAAUUCAGACAUUUUCAAGAAUUAUGCAAUCUCACUGAUUAAAUUGCAUCCAUGUAUGAGUAAGCAAGUUUUCUUCCCAAAUGCAAUCUGUUUUAUUAGAAAUUUAAAUUGCUAAUAAUAAUAAUAAUAAUAAUAAUAAUAAUAAUAAUAAUAAUAAUAAGAAUGAUAAAAUUUAUGUCAAAUGACGAGUGAAAACAUUGUCUUUCGUUCUUCUGAGAUUAUUCUUGCUGAAAAUUUUAUUGAAUGACAUGAAGAGACAGAUAAUUUCUUUAUUAUAAAUUUUAUUAUUACUUCAGUUUUGAGCCUGAAGAUUAGUAAUACAGUUUUUUUCAAAUGACGAGUGAAAAUAUUAUCUUUCGUUCUUCUGAGAUUAUUCUUGCUGAAAGUUUUAUUGAAUGACAUGAAGAGACAGAUAAUUUCUUUAUUAUAAAUUUUAUUUAUUACUUCAGUUUUGAGCCUGAAGAUUAGUAACACAGUUUUUUUCAGCAUUCUUAGUUUUCAAUUUAUAUGUUUCAAAGCUGCAGUUUUUUAUUUGAAUUGGGGGAUUCUAAUUUUAUUUUUGUGUGAUAAUAAGCAUUUUGUUGCUUCACCUUUUUAUUUAUCUUUAGAAAUACAAUUUCUUUUGAGUAUGUUCCUCGGUGAUGAACAAUUCAAGAUGACGAGUCUGAUUGAAAUCCAUUCUUAACAACUGUGAUGUCAAUUCGAGGCAUUUGUCUGAGAGGAACAAGAGGAAACCCCUUAGCAUAGUAUCCCCUAAAAUUAUUUUGAAAUAUUUUAAAUAACCUUGAUUUAUUUUAGUUCUUAAUGUAGAUAAUAUGUUUUAAAAUUUGGAAUGACUCUAAGGAUGAUCAGAAAACUUUCGCCUUUCCUGAGAUGAUAUCGUGAAGAAAAUCUCUGGAGACCUGAGCUGAAGAGACGUGAAAAUUUAUUGAAUAAUUUUUGGUGUACAUAAUAGUGUUCAUAAUGCACACAUGGCCUCCUUUAUUGGAGGGGCGCUGUCUGUACCCAUAGCAAAUCCCAAAUUUAUUUGGCUAAUGCCCUUGGUACAGGCCCUGAACGUUCAGGCUCUCUCUAUUUGAUUUCAUUCCAAUGUUACUGUUGUAAAGUAGAAAUAAAUUGGGAGUCCAACACCUUAGUUGUACUUCUGGAUUUGAUUUUGACCUUGCUUGAGUUUGACCUACUUAUUUUGCCUUUGAAAAUUCUCUUGAUUCAUCUGAUCCCAAUGGAGAACGAGCAAAAACAUGUGAAACUAAGGGUCCAUUUGAUUGUAAAAAUGAAAUUUUGGUGGAAAGAAAACGAAUUUUAGAGAAUUUGAGUUGUAUAAAAAUUGUUUUAUUAGGAAUUGUCAAUUAUUGUGUUUAAUUGGUAUAAUGUUUCACUUAGAAUGAAUAAAAGUGUUUUUUGAUAUUCGUUUGAUUUUGUUUUACAUGAUAAUUGUCAAUUAAAGGGA
rnacentral:lncRNA from 1 species